rnacentral:rRNA from 1 species
AACGAACGCUGGCGGCAGGCUUAACACAUGCAAGUCGAGCGCCCCGCAAGGGGAGCGGCAGACGGGUGAGUAACGCGUGGGAACGUGCCCUUUGGUUCGGAACAACUCCGGGAAACUGGAGCUAAUACCGGAUAAGCCCUUCGGGGGAAAGAUUUAUCGCCAAAGGAUCGGCCCGCGUCUGAUUAGCUAGUUGGUGAGGUAAUGGCUCACCAAGGCGACGAUCAGUAGCUGGUCUGAGAGGAUGAUCAGCCACACUGGGACUGAGACACGGCCCAGACUCCUACGGGAGGCAGCAGUGGGGAGUAUUGGACAAUGGGCGCAAGCCUGAUCCAGCCAUGCCGCGUGAGUGAUGAAGGCCUUGGGGUUGUAAAGCUCUUUUGUCCGGGAAGAUAAUGACUGUACCGGAAGAAUAAGCCCCGGCUAACUUCGCGCCAGCCGCCGCGGUAAAAC